rnacentral:rRNA from 1 species
UACGUAGGCAGCGAGCGUUGUUCGGAGUUACUGGGCGUAAAGCGUGCGUAGGCGGUGUCCUAAGUCUGUUGUGAAAUCUCCCGGCUUAACUGGGAGGGUGCGGCGGAAACUGGGAUGCUGGAGUGUGGGAGAGGUAAGCGGAAUUCCCGGUGUAGCGGUGAAAUGCGUAGAUAUCGGGAGGAACGCCUGCGG